rnacentral:tRNA from 1 species
GGUAGGAUGGCCGAGUGGUUUAAGGCGCUGGUCUUGAAAACCAGAGGUCCGGCAACGGUCCCGGGGGUUCGAAUCCCUCUCCUACCGCCA